UUUCAUGUGCCAGUAAGGUGACGCUGGCAACGAUCAUGCUUGACUGGUGCUUUUUAUGUGCCACCAGCAUGGGAGCCAGUCAGUGGCCCUGGCGAUGAUCACACGCAGAUGGUGCUUUUAAUGUUCCACUGGCACAAGUGCCAAUCAGGCGGUGCUGUCAUUGACCACAUCAGCGAUUUUGAUUUCAAUUACCUCAACAGGUCUUUGCAAGCAAAGUUUAUUGUCCAAUGAAUGAAGGGUACUCAUAAGUGGGUUGGUUAUACACCAUUGGCAUAGGCCACGGGUUAUAGUCUCACUUGGCUUGUCUGUCAUCCUGGUUUUCGAACAGAGUAACAGAUCCCUUGCAGUCAACUAUUGCCUAAUUUCAUUCACCUUCCAUAUCAUUAAAGUGUUUGAAAGGGUGGUGAGAUCAAACUCCUAAAUUUAAACCAGCAUGGCUUUCACCACAGCAGAGACUAACACAGCUCUUACAGUACAUUGAUGAUAUCCUUAAAGCCUUGGGAUCAGGUUUGAACUCUGGUGUUAUAUAGCUUGACUUCAGUAAAGCGUUCAACAGAGUUGACCAUAACAUCCUACUGUCAAAACUGUCAAAUGUUAGAAUCUGUGGAAAAAUUCUACACUGGAUUGAAUGUCUCCUGGAGAACAGAAUACAACAUAUUAUGAUCGGCAGAAUCCACUUGAGCCCAGCAAAAGUCACCGGUGGUGUACCUCAGGGGACUGUCUUGGGCCUGCUCCGCUUUAUAAUCUACAUAAAUGAUCUUUCCAGGAUUGUAAACACAGUAAAGUGGAAAUAUUCACUGAUGACUCUAAGUUCCAGAAAACUAUCAAUGAAGAAGAUCGAACUGAACUCCGAAUGGGUGAUGACGCCGUGGUGAUCUCAUUCUUGCUCACAACAUCAUAACUGGAAAGUGUCACCUCUCGAAAGAGCUGUUCUUCACUCCUGCUCCAGAGCGUUGGCUGCGGGGUCACUCCAAAAAGCUCUAUCUGCGACGAUUUCAUCUCAAUCAAAGGAGAGGGGCUUUCUCCGUCUGGGUUGCGGAUCCAUGGAAUAAGCUGCCGGACGAGAUAGUGAAGAUGCCGACGACCACUCGGUUCAAAGUCUCCCUUGUCCACAAAUGGCCUGAACUCUUUGCAUGAACACCACCCUGUACAUAACUCCAUGUCCCCCUACAUGGCCUUGCUUUUUGAUUUUUGAGCCAAAAAAUUAACUAACUAAGAUAACGUUUUACACCUGAAAAUAUUGGUUUCAAAUUUUGGUGCAAGGCUAGCAACUUGGGGGAGGGGGUAGUCGAUUCCAUCAACGCUAGUUCUCAACAACUACUUAUUUUAUCAACCCCAAAAGGGAUGGAGGGUAAAGUGGACCUUGGUGGAAUUUGAACACAGAACGUAAAGAUGAGCAAAAUGCAGCCAAGCAUUUUACCUGGCAUGCUUACCAUUCUAUUAGCUCACCGCCUUUUCACCUGUAACUACUAACUACCAAAUUCCUGUGAGUUUCUUCAGAGCAGCUUAAAAAGUCUCAUAGUAUUUAUUUACAUUGAGCUUGAAAUUUCAAAAAUGCUAAUGGUUUUACUGGACAAUUCUCAUGUACCUGGUGUGAUCUUCAUGACAAAAAUGAUGUAUACGAUAAAAAAUUUCAUGUGAAAAGCAACACUGUAACAGCUUAAUUUUUGUUGAUACAACUAUUUUACAGGUGUGAAAAUGUACCACUGAACAUACUUUGACAGGUAUCGUAGGAGUGGCUGUGUGGUAAUUAGCUUGCUUACGAACCACAUGGUUCCGGAUUCAGUCCCACUGCGUGGCACCUUGGGCAAGUGUCUUCUACUAUAGCCUCGGACCGACCAAGGCCUUGUGAGUGGAUUUGUUAGACGGAAACUGAAAGAAGCUCAUCGUAUAUAUGUGUGUGUGUGUGUGUUUGUGUGUCUGCCCCCUUCCAACAUUGCUUGACAACCAAUGCUGGUGUGUUUACAUCCCCGUAACUUAGUGGUUCGGCAAAAAAAGACCGAUAGAAUAAGUACACAGACACACAAACAUAUAUAUAUACAUAUAUACGACAGGCUUCUUUCAAUUUCCAUCUACCAAAUCCACUCACAAGGCUUUGGUCAGCCUGAGGCUAUAGUAGAAGACACUUGGCCAAGGUGCCACGCAGUGGGACUGAACCUGGAACCAUGUGGUUCGCAAGCAAGCUACUUACCACACAGCCACUCCUAUGCCUUUAAAAAAAUCAUUAAAAUAUUUUGUGCCUUGUAGAAGUAUAACCAAUUUAUUGCAGAUAAAUGUUUGAUAACAAAAUCUGAUAUGGACCCCCCACCCCAACCAGGGUCAUAUGGACCCUGGUUGAGAACUCCUCGUUUAGAUAAUGCAAAUGACAAAUCAAGUAUGAAUGAUUGUGAUAAAAAGUAUCAUGGAAUUGGUGUUUUAUGGAGUAAUAGUUAAAAAAUUGAGUAGUAGUCUACUGUGAACUUAAUGUGACAGUCCCAUGAAGGGAAUCACACCACUGCUAUUUAGCCCUAGGAAGUAUCAACGCUUCCUGUCGGCUGUGACACAUUUCCUGUGUCCUUAUGUUUACAAGGGGGAGACAAGCACCCCCACCCAGCUAAGCCUGCAACCAGAGACUAGUUUCUGAGUCUUUACUCAUCAUCAGUCAGGAGUAGCAUGGCCUGCUAGCUGGAGAUGCUUAUCUAGGCCUUGUAAACAUAUAAGAAUUCUAGUGAAAUAAAUCCACUGAUUACAAAAAUAGAAAUAAUACAUUUCUAAAUAUCUGAGAGAGAUAUAAGCAGCAGUGGUAUGAUAGAGUAGUUGUGUACUGUCAACUUAAUGUGACAGUCCCAUGAAGGGGAUCACACCACUGCUAUUUAGCCCUAGGAAGCAUCAACGCUUCCUGUCAGCCUUGAUUGUCACUGAGAGACAGCAGGGAAAGAUUUAAAUUUGCAUGGAGAGGUUUUACUUGUGAUUCCACACUGAAAUACUACUAAAGAAAAACUAUUUAAUUCAACAAAGCUUAAAACUCCGAGUAGGUUAUUACUUAAGGUUGAUGACACACUUGUCUUCUCUAAUUACAGCAAAACUGGAAGACAUACAGCCAAGUUAUAAAAUAUAAAGCAUAUAGACGUUCGUAUUCAAGGAGUCAUGUAAAUAAAUGGAGUUGUUGUAGUCCUUUGUGUCUGUGCAAUGUUAAUAUGCCCUAUUAUGAGAACAAUUAGGCUGAUGAAACUUGUAAGUUGACCUGAAUAAGUUAAAAACAUAUUUAUUUUUGUAACUGACUUCAAUACAUGUUAUGGUUAGCAAAUUGGUGAUAUUAAUUCAUAAUUUUAAUCUUUAACAUCAGUAAGCACCAAGCCAAGCCUAGUUGACAUACAGUUUGUAGCCACGUCACAAGAAAUGGAAUUCUGUAAAAUAAAUCAUCUCUACUUGCACUAUGACCCAACAACGCCGGGUCAUACUGCUAGUGCAUGCAUACACAGCUGCGUGCGUGCGCACAUACACGUGAGUACUGUCUAAAUCUCCGACCAAACACAUGCAGCUAGCUGGCAUUCAAUUGGUGUAUCAAGUUUCGGGCAUUUUGAUUGGGUUUUGGAUAGAAAAUUCACAAAAAAGUCACUUCUACUGAUUUUUUAAUGGCUUUGUGGGGUGACUGGGGAAAUGUAAAGAUGUCUACGACAACCCUUGGACGGUUUUGAAUGACCAUAGAAAGUGCGAGCCCUCUAACUGAAAAAUUGUGGAUUUGUAUAAAGGACACGCACACAGACAUUUUGCCGUUUAUAUACAUAGAGAUAUUUGCAACCCAAACUUUGAAAAUGUAGCUGACCCAUUGGUCAUUCACCAUCAUAAGGACCCAAUUAGAUUAGUUCUGACCAAGAAACAAAACAAUUAUUUUGAAACACUAAACUAUAACAAAGAAUAUUUAUCCCCACUUAAAUGUGGAUGCUGUGUUAGAACAAGCUAUACUGCAAUAAAUACCACGAGAGAAACUCUCAUAUUGGCUUUUGGUGCUACAUGCAUCCUUGUUUAUAUCGCUAGCAGAGAGAUAAACCCCCACUAUCUCCAGCACCGAGACCACCUGAUCAUGUGAUUUCGACCGAUCUUGGCCUUGUCGAUGAUGGAUGCUCAACAGCUAGAAAUGGCAAAGACUCAUAUCCCUGCCAGCGAUAUAUAGAAAAACAGUGCCAAAACAGGUACUGGUGUUGCAAUUAUCCAGUGAGUUUGUUAAUAUAGAUUAGUGGUUAGCAACAUUGAAUUGAGGAUAAAGUAAAUUAGAGAACAAAGGAUGCAAAUAUGGAAACUGAAAAAUGUGAAUGUUAGUUGAAACUUGCACUAUUUGAUGCCUAUUUAAGUGGAAAGGAAAUAGAGAACCGUAACAGAGAGAAUAUCUUUAAGAGAGUAACAAAGCACUAUGAAUGAAAUCAGGGAGUUAGUUAAGGAGUAGGUAAUAAGUGGUGGAAAAGGGGAAAGUAGGGAACCUUCAAGAGCAAUAGUGAAAGGAAGGAUGGCAGAUAGCAAUAUUAUAAGGAAAGGCAGCAAUUAACCAUUGCACAUGAGUGUGCAUGUGUAUCUUUCACCAAUACACAUAAGCAAAGGAUCUUUCAUGUUUUACCUGCUUUAGUCAAUGAAUUAUGGCCAUGCUGGGGCUACACCUUGAAGUCUUUUAGCCAAACAAAUUGACCGUAGAACUUUUUUUUUUUGUUUCUUUUCUUUUUAACCCUUUUUAAAAAUAAUGAGUUUUUAACUCAGCUUGACCCUUUUACUGCCAUUAUUCUGCCAAAACUAAUGCUUUUUAAUCCACAUUGCUUUGAACUAAUCCUGCAUUAUCUUGUAGCUAUGAGAUUUUGAUGAGGUAGCUGUUAAUUUUUAAAACGAUAUUGUAGGGUUGGUGUGAGAGACCUGAUCUGGCCAGUUUGAACAUAAAACAGGCAGAACACUUUUGGCCAAAUAUGGCCGGUUUAAAUGCUAAAGGUUUAAAGUCCGAUAUUUAUUCAUUUGAUCUCUUUUGCCAAAGCACUAAGAGGACAUAAACAAACCAACACCAGUUAUCAAGCAGUGGAGAUAGGAAACACAGAUACAAAUACACACACACACAUAUAUAUAUACACAUAUGAUAGGCUUCCACACAGUUUCCACCCACCAAAUUUACUCCCAAGGCAUUGGUCAGUGUUGGGCUAUAGCAGAAGACACUAGCCCAAGGGGCUGCACACUGGAACUGACACCGAACCAUGCGGUUGUAAGUCAAGCUUUUUAAUCACACAGCCAUGCCUGUACCUAUAUAAAACAUUGAUAAAAAUAAAUUCAGUAUUCUGAAAAUGUUGUCAUUUGCACUGAGUUGUAGAUGCCCUUGUGCGCUUCUUAUUUCUUUAUUGCCCACAAGGGGCUAAACAUAGAGGGGACACACAAGGACAGACAAAUGGAUUAAGUCAAUUACAUCGACCCCAGUGUGUAACUGGUACUUAAUUUAUCGACCCCGAAAAGAUGAAAGGCAAAGUCGACCUCGGCGGAAUUUGAACUCAGAACGUAACGGCAGACGAAAUACUGCUAAGCAUUUCAACCGGUGUGCUAAUGUUUCUGCCAGCUUGUGCACUUCUUGCUAUCUGAAAUGAACCAGAGUGUGUAUAUACACAUACACACAUGCUUUAUAUUCAGCAUUUUAAUUUCCUACUUAAGUAUCAUUUAGCCAUUAACAUUUGGAUUAAUUAAUAAAGAAUUAAGAUGUGUUGAUGGUAGAAAAAUACAUUUUCCUAUACUUAACCAUUUUGGUAUUGCAUUGUGUAGUACAAUCUGGACAAAAACAGAUGAUGAUGAAUCACUUAUGCAAGAGGACAUAUCUUUCACUGUCAACUUUAUUAAAGCAAAUAUUUUUAUGAAUUUUUUUUAUUGUUGUUGUUAAGUGUGAUAACCUACAGGGAAUUUGACAAAGCUUGCAUCAAACUGAGUUGGAUCAUUGGAAACCAGUAACAAUGAAAUUACUGUUUACAAAUUACAAUAUAAAAUAAAUAUCAUUAGAGAGGAGUAUGUCUGCAACAAGUCUUCUCUGUGACAAAUGUAAAAGAGAGGCAUUACUAGAAGGGGCUGUUGAAUAAGGAGAUACAACAAAGAAUGCUAAAUACAAGGGCACACACAUACACACAACAACAACAUGCUUCAUCACUUUGUCUCCAACAAUUCCGUGCGACACCAGUGCAGAAUCACCUCCCUCCGACAAGUCAUCCUAAUGAGACGUCUGCGUUGGCUGGGUCAUGCCCUCCGUCGUCAACCAGGAGAAUUCAUCUACGAAGCAAUUGCCCCAGCUCCCCUUCAGGGUUGGCGAAAGCGAUGUGGUGGACAACGAAAAACCUGGCUGAUGACACUCGAGGCUGAUCUGGAACCCAACCUAGGCCCCCAUAUCUACGGCAUUCGCUGCUGGAAUAAGGAGUGAUUGGAGAUCGCGCGGUCGUUAGCCUCAAAUCGCCAGGCCUGGUUGGCGUUGGUGAGAGAUGCAGCAUUGAGGAUGAAUGAAGCCAGCUCAACCCACCCCGGGUGAAUGCUGUAAGAAGAAGAGAAGAACAACAUGCUUCAUCAUAUCUUCUGUUUAAUAAUCUAUCUGAAUGACAGAUCAUACCCUGAAAGAUGAAAGGGGUGGAAAGAAUUUUUUCAAAGUUAGUCAUGAAUGGAGUUACAGUUUGGUGCAGUUUGGGUUUGUACCGAAAUGUGGAUCAGAUGCAGACAUCAUACUUCUCAUGAGUUCUUGGGUAAGGAAACCACCCAUAGCUCUAGUUUGCAUCUGACCUCAUAAAGGCUCUUGACAGAAUCACCUAGUAGUUGGAAUAUAUAUUAAAUAAACACUGCAGCCUAACGAUUAAUUAUGUAAUUAAAACUACCAGUUUGUGGUGUCCUGGCAACAGGUCUAUGGCAAUGUAAGGUUACCAUUUAAAAUAAACUGCACUCCUACUGUUAACAAGUUUUAAUCUCGAUAAAUGAACAAUUAAGCUACGUGUGAACAAACAAGUGUAUUUUUUUUAUAUUUAAACUGAGGCCAUAUCAGCUAAACAAUUUGAGGGUCCAAUUGAUUAAUAAUUCCCUCUGGGACGUUGGCUCUCGAGGCACAUCACAUAAAACUAUAAAUAACAUGUAAAUAUUGGGUCGGAAAACACUUUUGGACAGUUUGAGGGUCCAGAAUUGAUUAAUAAUCCAGUACCUUUACACAAAGAUUUGGAUUUAUAUUUCACUAGAGUUCACUUUUUUAGUUUCUUAUUGUGUCCCCACCAUCUAUGUUCCCCAGUCCACCCAACUUAGCUUGACCCUUUUACUGCCAUAUGCAACUUUAGUCAAACUCCCUGUAGGUUAUUACACUUAACAAAAACAGAAUGAAAAAAAUUCACAAAAACAUUUGCUUUAAUAAAGUUGCCAGUAAAAGCUAUUUCCACUUGCAUAAAAGAUUCGUCAACAUGUGUUUUUGUCCGAUUGUCGCCCAUGCAUGCCAGCCUCCCCUCUACACGCCACUGAUAUUAUCCAAGGGAAAGGCAAAGGCCAAUACAGCUUGGCACCAGUGAUGUUGCAACUCAUUUCUACAGCUGAGUGAACUGGAACAACAUGAAAUAAAGUGUCUUUCUCAAGAGCACAAUACAGAGAAUUGAACUCACUACCACAUGAUUGUAAGCCCAAUGCUCUAACAAAUACUAGAAUGGUUAAGCAUAGGAAAAUGUAUUUUUCUAUUAUCGACACACCUUAAUUCUUUAUUAAUUAAUCCAAAUGUUAAUGGCUAAAGUAGGAAAUUGAAAUGCAGAAUAACAAGUGUGUGUGUGUAUCAUCAUCAUCAUCGUUUAACGUCCGUUUUCCAUGCUAGCAUGGGUUGGACGGUUCAACUGGGGUCUGGGAAGCCAGUAGGCUGCGCCAGGCCCAGUCUGAUCUGGCAGUGUUUCUACAGCUGGAUGCCCUUCCUAACGCCAACCACUCCGUGAGUGUAGUGGGUGUUUUUUUACGUGCCACCUGCACAGGUGCCAGAUGAGGCUGGCAAACGGCCACAAUCGGAUGGUGCUUUUUACGUGCCACCGGCACGGAGGUCAGUCAGUGCGGCACUGGCAACGGCCACGUUCGGAUGGUUCUCUUAUGUGCCACCGGCACUGGUAUCACAGCUACAAUUUCCAUUGAUGUUGAUCGAUACACACAAUAUAUUUGGUAAUACAAUACACUUAUAGAAAUUUUUUUUAAGGAAAUGCUUAAAUAAUUAUCAUGUGAUUCUAACAUUUCAAUGUUUGCUUUUCUAAGCAGACACAGGUUGUAUAUGUCUAAAGAAAUAUGUUGUAUUUUCCAGCAUACAAGUCAAAUUCUUCAGACCAAAAUUUACAGUCAAAACCAGGUUAACUUAUACACCAAGAUGACUUUGGAGGACCAAAAGUUCCAUGUGAAAUGCAGCAGAUUUGGAAUGAUUGUGACGAUGACCGAAUGCUUACAUUAGUUUACAUGUUAUACCACAUUGAUUUGUAUGCCAGAAAAUACGAUACUCUCAGAAAAUUCAGCUCAU
rnacentral:lncRNA from 1 species